rnacentral:rRNA from 1 species
UACGAAGGGGGCUAGCGUUGCUCGGAAUCACUGGGCGUAAAGGGUGCGUAGGCGGGUCUUUAAGUCAGGGGUGAAAUCCUGGAGCUCAACUCCAGAACUGCCUUUGAUACUGAGGAUCUUGAGUAUGGGAGAGGUGAGUGGAAUUCCCAGUGUAGAGGUGAAAUUCGUAGAUAUUGGGAAGAACACCGGUGGCGAAGGCGGCUCACUGGCUCAUAUCUGACGCUCAGGCGCGACAGCGUGGGGAUCAAACAGG